rnacentral:rRNA from 1 species
UACAGAGGUGGCAAGCGUUGUUCGGAAUUACUGGGCGUAAAGGGCGCGUAGGCGGCCUCUUAAGUCGAACGUGAAAUCCCCGGGCUCAACCCGGGAACUGCGUCCGAUACUGGGGGGCUUGAAUCCGGGAGAGGGAUGUGGAAUUCCAGGUGUAGCGGUGAAAUGCGUAGAUAUCGAGAGGAACACCUGCGGCGAAGGCGGGUUGCUGGGCCGACACUGACGCUGACAGCGCGAAAGCUAGGGGAGCGAACGGG